rnacentral:rRNA from 1 species
AUGGCGACGUCGACUCCGGCGUCGUGGUCAGAACUCCCGCCGGACGUGCUAGGCCUGGUCAUCAACCGACUGGUUUCCUUACCGCGCCGCGCCUCGCUGUGGUCACGACUCCGACGGCACCUGGGUUUCCGCGCUCGCUUCAGAGAAUGGCCGCGAGUCCGACGGUUUCUUGAUUUCAUCGCUGGCUUUGGCUUCAAGAAGGUGCGGCGUGACCGGCACUGGGUCUCUUUCGACCGCGCUCGCUUCCGCAUGGUGUGUCGUUCGUGGCAUCGAGCUAUGCGCCGACACAUUGCGGCUUCACGACAGGUACCCUGGAUUGUCAUGUCAGAUGGCUCGUUCUUCACACCUUCGGAUCCUGUUGGCACCUCCCCUUCCCGGCUCCCCACCUUGCCCAGCAAUACAACAUGCAUUGCCUCCUGCGACGAUUGGCUCGCCCUCGACCUCAUCGAUGACGACAAGAUGCAUAGCUACUCAUUGCACAAUCCGUUCACUGGCACCACCGUGUUGCUCCCCGAGCUGGAUGCUAUCAUCGGCAAUGUUUCCAAGAUUUUCAAGGUCCGUAAAGUGCUCCUAAGGUCAACGCCUUCUGACAUCAUCGCUGUCAUGACCAAUAAUUGGAAUCAUCCCCUUAUCUUAGUCCGACCAGGGAAGGGUGUGUGGCUGCCUGAGCCACAAAGCGUCCCCUUCAUCUACAUCGUCGACAUUGCUUUUCUUGGAGACAAACUAUAUGGAAUCACUCGGGCCGAGGAUCUAGUCUCUCUAGAUAUAAAUUUUGAUAGCGAUGGCAUACCCACAGUUACUAGUAUCGAGCGCCUCAUCAAGCACCCAUCUGGCAAUUACGAUUUUGAUGUGUGGCGCGAUGUUGACGACAACAAGAAUGAUGAGGGUGGUAAGGACGAGGCCACGAAUAAUUAUGAGGGCCACACUGAGGCGCCGCGUGAGCAAAAUCCCGAGGAGGCCGCCUUAGAAGAACUUCGGAAGAAAACAGGCGAUGACAUGAUUCUUGAAGGCGUAGUAUGUUGGGUGGACGAUGAUGUGCCAUACGAACCUAAGGAUCUCAUCACUGUCAUGUGGCACUUAGUCGAGUCAUGUGGGAAGCUGCUCAUGGUGAGACGCCAACUGCAUUGGCCUGCAUAUAGUAUCAACUUCACUAGCAAGGUGGAGGUUUAUGAGACAGGUGUCAAUGAAGGCGCACAAUGGGUGCUAGUUUCAGGUGGGCUGGGCAACCAAACGCUUUUCAUCAGCAAAUUCUUUUGCAAAUCCAUUUAUACAUGUGAAGACGGUGACCGCGAGGAUCUUCAUUUUAUCGACACGGGUGAAAAGUACAAUUUGAAAUCCCAAACUAUGAGCCCCACCUGGAGGGAUUUUAGCUACCAAGAGUCUAUGUGGAUCUUUAGUGAGGAGCUAGUGGUUUGA